UACAGAGGUCUCAAGCGUUGCUCGGAAUCACUGGGCGUAAAGCGCACGUAGGCGGGCUCUUAAGUCGGUGGUGAAAUCCUGGAGCUCAACUCCAGAACUGCCUCCGAUACUGAGAGUCUUCGAGUCCGGGAGAGGUGAGUGGAACUGCGAGUGUAGAGGUGAAAUUCGUAGAUAUUCGCAAGAACACCAGUGGCGAAGGCGGCUCACUGGCCCGGUACUGACGCUGAGGUGCGAAAGCGUGGGGAGCAAACAGG
rnacentral:rRNA from 1 species